AAGGCUGUAGAAUCGCCAUUCACCAUUGUAUCAUCUCUCUCGCUCGGACUACCAAAUUACGCCUAAAAUCCAUCACCUUUUCUGUUCUUUCACUCUAAUAUACUUGAAACACCGGAUACUUGAGGUCGCAGAUAGAUCGAGCAAUCCCAGUUACUCCAUUUCUCCAAUUUCGAACACGAUCCUUAUAUGUUCUAUGUUGAGGUCCACAUUUGUGCGAUUUUAGUAGAUUCACCCAAUCUUCGCAACAGUGUAUCAUCUUUCGCGAUAUUGAUAUCUACAAACCCAGACUCAUCUAAGAACGACUACGGAGGGAAGGCUGGGAGAUCUACAGCUAAGUGUGGUUCAGGGCAAUUUUAUUUGAGUGUUUAUUUACUGAUUUUCUCGUUUGAUUUCAGGCUAAAAUUCAUUUCUAUGCUUUGAGUAAUAUCUCGUGACUAAUUUAUUUCUUCUAAAUUGUUUGUAUAGGGAAGACCGAAAUCAUGCAUGUCUUCUGAGUACAGAUCUGCUCUUUUGAACUACUAUGGUCACCUAAAAACGCUAACGGAGUGAAGUCUGGGAGCUAAUUGAAAAGAUAAGAAUGGAUUAGGGCUUUAAGAUUUGGGUUAAGAGAAUCAACCACCAUGUUGUGAUGAUAAAGUUAGCUUGGAUCAAUGAGAAGCAUUGCAUUUGGAGAUAAUUCGUUCCACUUACAAUCUUAUAUGAUUCGCUACAUUUAAUUUAGCAUUUAUGUUUUUGUUUUUUUGUUUAAGGCUAUAAGGCAGUGGUUUUAGUUGUAACUCAAGUUUAAGUAUAAUUUUUGCAAGUAUAUCAAUUUUUUAAGACUUUGGCAAAUGAUCAAGCUUUAUUUCCUGAUGCAAUUAUUGUACAGAACAAUU